rnacentral:rRNA from 1 species
UUACGGUCAAAUCACGCUGAAAACACCGGUUCUCGUUCGAUCACCGAAGUUAAGCAUCGUAGAGCCAGGUCAGUACUUAGAUGGGGGACCGCUUGGGAAUACCUGGUACUGUAAG